rnacentral:rRNA from 1 species
AUGGCUUCAGCGGCGCAAGAUUUCCAGCCCCGGACAUUCUCCAUCAAACUGUGGCCACCGAGUGAAAGCACUCGUCUGAUGCUUGUAGAGAGGAUGACCAAGAACCUGUCCUCUGAGUCAAUCUUUUCUCGCAAGUAUGGCCUUUUGGGCAAAGAAGAGGCCCAUAAGAAUGCCAAAAGGAUUGAAGAGAUGUGCUUUGCUUCUGCAGAUGAGCAUUUCAAGAAGGAGCCUGAUGGUGAUGGGAGUUCUGUUGUCCAGCUAUAUGCAAAAGAAACAAGCAAGCUGAUGCUGGAAGUCCUCAAAAAAGGUCCGGGGACGACUGCGGAACCAGAAGCACCUGUUAUUGAUACACCUAUUGAGCCUGCUGAUACUGUGUUUGAUAUAUCUGGUGGCAAGCGUGCUUUCAUUGAGGCAGAAGAAGCAAAGGAACUUCUGAGUCCACUAACAGAACCAGGAAACUCAUAUAGCAGGAUUUGCUUGAGCAACAGGAGCUUUGGUAUUGGUGCUGCCAAUGUUGCCGGGCCAAUUCUUGAAUCAAUAAAAUCUCAGCUCAAGGAGGUAGAUAUUUCAGAUUUUGUUGCCGGAAGACCUGAGGAUGAAGCCCUUGAUGUGAUGCGGAUAUUCUCCAAAGCUUUAGCAGGGUCUGUACUGAGAUACCUCAACAUCUCUGACAAUGCUUUAGGCGAGAAGGGUGUGAGGGCAUUCACAGAGCUGCUAAAAUCACAGGGCAACCUGGAAGAACUAUAUGUGAUGAACGAUGGCAUAUCAGGGGAAGCUGCUAAGGCUCUGUCUGAGCUUAUUCCUUCAACUGAGAAGCUUAAGGUUCUCCACUUCCACAACAAUAUGACUGGUGAUGAAGGUGCUAUGUUCAUUGCUGAGAUGGUCAAGCGUUCUCCAAAUCUCGAGAGCUUUAGGUGCUCUGCAACAAGGAUAGGAUCUGAUGGUGGAGUGGCAUUGGCCGAGGCACUGGGGACAUGCACUCGUCUGAAGAAGCUUGAUAUCAGGGACAACUUGUUUGGCGUUGAGGCAGGGGUGGCUCUCAGCGAAACGCUUCCAAAGCUUGGAGAUCUUGUUGAGCUGUACCUCAGCGACCUCAACCUCGAGAACGAGGGCACCAUAGCAAUCGUGAAUGUCCUCAAAGAGUCUGCACCUCAGCUGGAGAUCCUUGAGAUGGCAGGAAAUGAGAUAACCGCCGAGGCAGCCAAACCUCUGGCGGAAUGCUUGACAGCAAUGCAGUCGCUCAAGAAGCUGACCUUGGCUGAGAAUGAGCUGAAGGAUGCUGGGGCAGCGGCGGUCGCGAAGUCUCUGCAAGAGGGCCACCCAGAUCUGAAGGAGCUUGACGUGAGCACCAAUCUGUUUCAGAGGUCUGGAGCCCGCUGCUUUGCCCAGGCGGUCGCAAACAAGCCUGGGUUCGUGCUGCUGAACAUGAACGCGAACUACAUCCCUGAGGAAGGGAUUGACGAGGUGAGGAAGAUCCUGAAGGCAGGCGAGAACUCGGCGGACGUGCUUGGCCCGCUGGACGAGAACGAGCCCGAGGGGAACCCUGAUGACGAGGACGAAGAAGAGGAUGAUGAUGAUGAGGCAAAGUAUGGGGACGAUAAUGGGAAGGAUGCUGGUCUCGGCUCGAAGCUGCAGGACCUGAAGGUUGAGGCGGAGGAGGACUAA